ACCUGUGGAUGAGGACCCUCAGCAAACGUCUCAGCAGAGAGAGAGAGAAGCAGGAGAGAGGAUUCAGAUCAUGGUACAACCAAAGAAGCCACUGAGCGUCUCCUGGCUCGCACUGAAGGUGGGCAGGGGGGUGAUGGACAGUGACGCCGGGCAGGACACUGGCUCGGGAUGCUCGCCGAUGGGCGGGAUGGCGGUGGCCUCGGAGUGAACGCAGUCCGGACUGGGAAGAUUGGGACCACUCGGUGGGAAAGGACUCUUCCAGUGGGAGAACCCGAUAGCCACUUGACCGCCGAGCUCAAACCCUGCAAACGCACCGCAAUCAGAGCAAAGGAAUGUGUGAGCAGGUACCAGCUUUGUCAGCGCUGUUUUGCUGCUUUGACUGAAAACUGUGCAGCUUUAAGAUAUCUACUUCUGACCUGAGUGGAGCACCACACCCUCGCUUUACACUGACCGUGAGGGGAAUUGAUCGGAUAAAUCGAUUAAACACGAGGAAUAUGUGCAUUUUGCUGGUUCGAUGCUGUGAUGCCUUUACCUGCGGAUCCGGAGGAGAGGCGCGUGGCGAUGGCGCUUCGAGGACUCCGCGGACUCCCGGGACAAGCCCGCACCAGCUCGUCCUGACACUGCACACAGAUCACCUGGCUCUCCUGGGUCUCCCCGACCUUGCUGCUGCAGCCUAUGUGCUCGGCCCCGGCCUGGAUCCUCAUCCCUGCGCUGAUCUGACGGACCAGUCGCAUGUCAGCUCCCGCCUCAUGCUCCAGCAUCCUCCUCACGGGCGGCCACACGCAUUACGCACGACCCCGGCGUGCGGAGGCAACAACAACUUCUCCUGGCACCUGGCUGCAGCUUCAGUAACUCCACCCACCGAUCUCUCACAUCCCAAACAGUCUAUGCUCCCACCCAGCGCUGUGUGUUCAGACCUGACUCACAUCUGCUCCCCACAGCUGCUCUGCUCCAUCGUGUCCGCCUCUCUGGGCUAGUGGAGCCGGUGAUGUCGCAGUCUUUUACGCGCGACUGCAGGAGUGGCUGCUCCACUUGCUUCCUGCGAUCUCAGUGUUUAGUUCCCGUGGGAAAUAUUCGUGCUACCAGAAGAAAUCAUUAAAUUAAAUCUCUGUUAAGUAAAAAACAUAAUUGUUUAUAGUCCCAAAGGGAUUAUUUCUGAGAUACCAAUUUAAUGAGAACACUACGAAGUAGCGUUGAGUAGUGGGCCAUGAAGACCACAUAAAUAACAUGAAGGACUAUACUAUAAUCUUUGGCUUCAGUUUUUGAUAGUGGGAGGAAGUGGAGACGUGUCUUCCAUCUUCAUAUACAGUCGAUGUCACUGACUGUACAUUGUGGCCAGUGUUUUUCACACACAUGGGAUACCUUUGACUUAAUUCAGUGGGUAAAAUAUUAAUUGUUAGUUAUUUUGACAAUUCUCCGAUAACAAGAACGAUACAUUCAGAUAAAUCCAUGUCUCAGCUCAGCAAUAUGACUGGAACUGCCUGGACACUGAGGUCAGGUUCAGGUCAAGAUUUAUAAAAGCUUAGAUCAUGAGCAAAGACUCUUAAUGUUUAAUGUAACAUAACGUUUGUGUUUUAUAAUAUGACAUCAAUUAUAAUACAUGAUGAUACUGCAAAAAAGGGUAAGA